UGAUUCUGUGCAGUUGAGUUCCCUUCAGGGUUUGGAGGCUGCUCUGAGUUCUCUGUCAGGUUUCUCUCCAAGUUUUGUCCAGGGUUUUGUUCCAAGGAAACCUCAGAGUAUUUUACUUCUCUUCCUUCUUCUGUCUCUUUUCUGUGUGGCUUUUGUUUCAAUGAAACUCUAGUAUUUAUAACCUAAUAUUGGUAGCUUAGUGGGCUUUUGAGAGAGGUCCAAGUCUGAGAUUUUUU
rnacentral:lncRNA from 1 species